UUCCCGCAUCAGUCACCGAGGCAGGUGGGCAGGCGAGGAGUCUCAAUUUGGGAAAGUGGAAUAUGACGCGGUUUUGAAAGUGAGUGUGCGAAGGAAAGAAAAAUGUGACUAAAUAAAAUCACGAGAACAGUUGCUGUCAUGAAUGUGGAAAUCAGGAGGAGGAAGAGGUGACGGUGGUGGUUGUGGGAAUAGUAGUGAAGGAGAAUCUCUCUCUCUCUCUCUCUCUCUCUCUCUCUCUCUCUCUCUCUCUCUCUCUCUUAUUGGCAUUAAAGGUGUAUUAUUACGUGUGACUUUUCAGUAUUUAGUUCAAGUAAACCUGAUAAAAUGAUGCAAGAUUCUGUAAAUUAUUUUCGAUGGUUUCCUUGGAGUACGUGGUGCAACACAUCGUUACUCCUUGCAUGUGUUGCUUUACCUUUAGCAAUGACUUUGCAAUAUUUCAUCAGAUGAAAUCUGGGUAAAUCAUUGACUUUUAUAUCAACAUAUGACUGAUAAUUAUCCCAACCUAUUCCAUGACAGCCAUGCAUUUCCGCGACUACUACUACCACGCCUGUUGCUGCUGUUACUUUUACACUGAACAUAGCAGUACUAUGUACAGUGAAUGUAUUUAUCUAUUUGCAUUGUGACGCCAAUGUGUUCGUAGUAGCCCAUCUUUUAUCAUCAAAUUAUUAGUUUUUCUUUAGAUUUAUAUGAAUGGUCUGUGCACACCAUGACUUGUAUCUCCCAGCACAUUCCACUGAUGUACUAGUGGUCUAUUUGAAAACAACGAGUAUCUCUCCAUCUUUCUAUCUCCUUUCUUGUUAAUGAACAUAGAUGGCUGAUGUGAAUACUUUUACGUCAUCACUGCAACCACUGUCACUACUGCUAUCCCCUCACCGUAACUACUCUCAUUAUCACUACCACCACCAGCACCACCACCACUUCACUCUUACAACCCCAACACUUAAGCAACUUUCACGCAAGAUCUCCGCUGUCUGAGGAGGCUGUGGGGGAGAGAGGUAGACGUGCCAGCCGUUCCCCUACAGAAAGAGCUCAGAACUUGUUCUGUUACCAGUCAGCGACCAAUCAAUGUGUCAACAGCAUAUAAUAAUUACCAGCUUAGUGUGAGGACCAUGUGUCAAUUGUCUCUCCUUUCAUCCCUGCAUAUCUCUAUCAAUCUAUUUCCGACACUACUAGCCCAAACCAAGAAUUUGUCUAUUAUUGGGAUUAGAUGAGGAUUCUUUGAGAGUCCAGUGCAAACCAGCUCCAUGAAGUGUCUGAUGGGGCCACGUUUUGGGCACCAUCCUUCCAAGUGUCUCUCAAGGAAGACAUGCUCAUGGAAUCCCACUUUCAUUUCCUCCACCA